CCUACGGGAGGCAGCAGUGGGGAAUAUUGGACAAUGGGGGCAACCCUGAUCCAGCCAUGCCGCGUGAGUGAUGACGGCCUUAGGGUUGUAAAGCUCUUUUCUCCGGGAUGAUAAUGACGGUACCGGAGGAAUAAGCCCCGGCUAACUUCGUGCCAGCAGCCGCGGUAAUACGAAGGGGGCUAGCGUUGCUCGGAAUCACUGGGCGUAAAGGGCGCGUAGGCGGCUGAUUUAGUCGAGGGUGAAAGCCUGUGGCUCAACCACAGAAUUGCCUUCGAUACUGGUUGGCUUGAGACCGGAAGAGGACAGCGGAACUGCGAGUGUAGAGGUGAAAUUCGUAGAUAUUCGCAAGAACACCAGUGGCGAAGGCGGCUGUCUGGUCCGGUUCUGACGCUGAGGCGCGAAAGCGUGGGGAGCAAACAGGAUUAGAUACCCUGGUAGUCCACGCCUAAACGAUGAAUGCUAGCCGUUGGU
rnacentral:rRNA from 1 species